rnacentral:tRNA from 1 species
GGGGCCUCGGUUGGGGGGGGGGGCCCCCCCCCCGCGGGAGGUCAGCGGUUCGAUCCCGCUAGUCUCCACCA